AUUGAACGCUGGCGGCAUGCCUUACACAUGCAAGUCGAACGGCAGCACGGGUGCUUGCACCUGGUGGCGAGUGGCGAACGGGUGAGUAAUACAUCGGAACAUGUCCUGUAGUGGGGGAUAGCCCGGCGAAAGCCGGAUUAAUACAGCAUACGAUCUACGGAUGAAAGCGGGGGACCUUCGGGCCUCGCGCUAUAGGGUUGGCCGAUGGCUGAUUAGCUAGUUGGUGGGGUAAAGGCCUACCAAGGCGACGAUCAGAAGCUGGUCUGAGAGGACGACCAGCCACACUGGGACUGAGACACGGCCCAGACUCCUACGGGAGGCAGCAGUGGGGAAUUUUGGACAAAGGGCGAAAGCCUGAUCCAGCAAUGCCGCGUGUGUGAAGAAGGCCUUCGGGUUGUAAAGCACUUUUGUCCGGAAAGAAAUCCUUGGCCCUAAUACGGUCGGGGGAUGACGGUACCGGAAGAAUAAGCACCGGCUAACUACGUG
rnacentral:rRNA from 1 species